CUGAGUCACAUGCCCACUUAUGUUGGGAUACUGAGCUCUGUAAUUGACAUCCCCCCAGAGAUAGCAUGGGCCAGGAAGGAUGAUACCCUAGGAAGGGAUGUUGAGUCAGUAAUUCCUGUUCAUUAUUACCUCCCUGCAAGCUGUUGUUGUUUCCCACUCACAGUGAAUGGAGUGUAUAUUCUCACCCAAACUGUCUUCUUUCCUAUUAACUCGCCUCUGUGGUAAGCCCUCCUGUCUGAUAUUGUUGGACAUAAGCAAGUAAUUGGCCUUUAUUUCCUUCUGAUGUUUUCUCCCAAUCCUUUUUUCUUUAUCUUCAAAUAGAGAUACGAUCAGUGUAAAAGCAACCUGACUUCCCUAUCUUUUGAAGGUCUGAUGAUCCCUCAUCCAUCAUCAGCCUUUCUUGGCCAAGUAGGCAUAUGAUUACAUUUCCACUUCAAUUAAAUGCUGCACCCUGAAGACAGAUGCCUCUUGUGGUCAAGGGUGCUGCCCACGAAUACAACUGUAUCCUAUAUAUAGUGCAGUAUUUAUACUUGUGAGAUCUUGGAACUUCUUCCUUUUCCUCACCUUAAUAGCUUAGAAGUGAUCAUUUUACCACUUGGUCCAAUCAGCGUCUACUUUGUCUAAUUUCUCUUCUGUGUCUCUUGAGUCAAAAAUGGCCUGUAGAUGUAUUCAUUUAGCUCCACAGCAAUACUAAUCUUUAAAAAUCUGUCACGAACAUUUAGGCCGGGCACAGUGGCUCACGCCUGUAAUCCCAGCUCUUUGAGAGGCCAAGGCAGGCGGAUCACCUGAGGUCAGGAGUUUGAGACCAGUCUGGCCAACAUGGCGAAACCCCAUCUCUACUAAAAAUACAAAAAUUAGCCAGACUUGGUGGCGUGCGCCUGUAAUCCCAGCUACCCAGGAGGCUGAGGCAGGAGAAUCGCUGGAACCCAGGAGGCAGAGGCUACAGUGAGCCGAGACUGCGCCAACACACUCCGGGCUGGGCGACACAGCAAGACUCCGUCUCCGAAACAACAACAACAAAAAUCUAUUGCGAACAUUUAAAAACUAGGAGAUGCUACAAACAAAUAUGAAUUUUUACUUCUUUUGAACAAAUCAGAAGAUCUGUGCAUCUUAGGUCCACAUUCCCCACAGCAGUGACAUGCUGGAGUGGCCCUCUGGACUGGCCAUGCAUUCCCAAGGCCACCACUCCCAAGGGUGUUACCAUUUGAAGCACUGUUGUCAUUUACCAUCUCAUUUGCUGGUUAUUUUUGCUUACAUUUGGCCCACUUCACUCAGUCACAUUCCCUGCCUGGCCCCUGGAGCACUCUUGGAGUUUGUGACUCCCAGUUGGGCAGCCAUUGCAAAUCAGGGGCAGGUUGAAGCAAGGUUUAAACUACUGAUGAGCUGGGGCCUAGAUUGGCUUUCUGCCUUAAGGCUCAAAGUAGACAUAGAUUGAUGGCAUACUUCAAAGGCCAAAGAGAUACUUCUAAGAGUUUUGAAAGAACUGCCGCUACUUGUCUAUAUAACAUCUAUUGUGCCUUUCAAGAGAAUUAUAUGAUGUUUAAAUACAAUAAACGAACGUUUCCAGAAAUAGAUAUAAAUACUGUAGAAGAAUGCUAGCAUGUCGUACAUCUGGAUCACCUUAAAGAAGCAACAUAAGGCUCAAAGUCUUAAAAUUAUUUUGUAAAAUGUUAAUGUGUACUUAGAUUUUAUUAAAAUCUUUUAUUGACUUCUUUAUCUGUCCCAUAUAGUAAUAAAUGUUUG
rnacentral:lncRNA from 10 species